AAUCUGUGAACACAUUGGAUUGUAUCCUUGUUACAUUUGCCAAUUGCUUACUUUUAAACAUUUUUAAGCGAGUCAACCAGAAUUAUGGAUUAAACAUUAAAAAUGUAUUAAUAAAAUGUCAGCGCACCCACUUUAAAUGCCAAAUCUCUAUUAAUAUACAGAGGUGGGAUUUGGGUGUGUGCAGUACAGAUUAAGUUGGUUUUACUAAUAUAAUGUUGUCAUUUUAAAGGCUUCUUUAAGAAAAAUACUCCUUGAAAAUUUUACCACUUAGCAAGAGUAUUUUAGGCAAGAAAUUUGGAAAGGCACAAAAUAGAAUGACAUUUUUUUUUUAAAUCACUGUUCUAAAGAAAUAGAAACCUUGAUAUAUGUGUGUGUAUAUAUAUAAUAUAUAUGUUAUAAUAUAUGUUAUAUAUAUUUACAUUGCCUAAAUUCAGUCUGUGAGUGUUUGACACAGUUUGAUUGAAGCCUGUACCAACUUAUGACUGUAGUGUUCACCUUAACAGAUCAUUUUAGUAUUCUGCUUUUUGUCUGUUUGUCAUCUUAUCCAUUUCAGAGCUUUCCAAAACUGUGAAAAUAUGACACUAUUUAUGAUGCUUGAUAGACAGAGUAGAUUAAAUUUGAGUUUAUUGGCAUAUAUAAGUACCCAGUUUCCCCUACAUUUUGAGUAGAGCUUCAUUUUCCUACAAAAUUUACACUUGGUUAUUGUACACAUUUUUUUUAGAUGCUCUAACAUUAAGACAUUGCGGUUUUGCCAGGCGUGGUGGCGCACGCCUUUAAUCCCAGCACUCGGGAGGCAGAGGCAGGCGAAUUUCUGAGUUCGAGGCCAGCCUGGUCUACAGAGUGAGUUCCAGGACAGCCAGGGCUACACAGAGAAACCCUGUCUUGGUGGUGGGGGGGGGGGGGAAGACAUACGAUUUUAAAGUAACUAGUUAAAACUUUUCCCCGAUGUCUCUACUACACACGUACAUGGUGCCAUAAUACCUGUGUGUUGUUGAUGGUGGUGGUGUUUUUUUCUGGUUAAGUAUUUAAAUGCGGUUGUAUUUGAUCCCAGUCAAAGCUCAUCCCUAAUGAUUUGUGCUUUUCAAACCAAUCUGUACGAGUGACUUGGGACUUUGAAAUCUUUAUUUCUGUCAGAUUCACAUGUGGAGCCUUUUUAGUUGUUAUUUCAGAGAUUUGGUGACACUGUAAAAUUUUAACUUAGAGUUUUGUGUUUACCUGUGUUCGUUCAUGUGCACCUUGUGCAUGCAGUGCCCUCAGAGUCCAGAAGAGUGUGUUGGUUUCCUUGGGAAUGGAGAUGCAGAUGGUUGUGAGCUGCCAUGUAGGUGCUGAGGCUGGAACUCCCUUGGUCUGCUGGAAGAGCUGCUGGUGCUCUUCGCCAACUGCUAAGUCAUGGCUACAGUUCAAUGCCUACUUUAAGAUUUGUUUGCCUAGCCAUUGUGGUCAGUGUGUUAUUUUCACAUUUCUUUUUUGGGCGGUAUGGGUGGAAACAGGGUCUCAUUGUAUAGCUGUAGCAAGCCUUGAAAUCAGAGAUCCAUCUGCCUCUGCCUCCCUAGUACUGAGAUAGAAAGCACACAGAUUUUCUUGUUACUGAGUCCUUAAAACCACCCUGCAUGACAAGUAUUAACAUUCCAUUUUAUAGAGAGGAAAAUUAGAUUCUAGCAUAACUCACCCAUGUUUAGACAAGUGAAUAUAGCUUGGCUUUUGAAUUUAUGUAGUUGCAUAUCACACUACAUGUGGUCUAAAUGCAUACAUUUUUCUUUAAUGUCUUACAGAGAAUAUUAGGUCUGUAUUCAUAACAGAAUUUAAGAUAUUUAGUAUUUAAGGUUUUUUUUUUUAAGGUAUGUCUUGACUUACUAGAUUCUAAACUCUUAGGUAUCUUACAUUUGAGUCAAUUUUGAAGUUAUUUUAUAAUUUCCCACUCCAUUAAAAAUGUUUUAAAAUUAAACCUUAAGGGGCUGGAGCGAUUGAUUGCUAGGCAGUUCAGAGCACACAGGGAGGACCUGAGUUAAGGUCCCCAGCACCUGUAUCAGGUGACUUAGAACUGCCUGUAACUCCACUUCCAGGGGACCUGAUGCCUCUGGCCUUUGUAGGCAUUGGCUCUCAUGUGCACGGGCCCACACUUAGGUGUACACACACACACACACACACACACACACACACACACACA